CAGGGAGACAACAAAAUGUUUAAUAUUAUUAUUUUGUCACCUUAGGUCGAUCGGUAUCUCACGUUUUUAAUUUAUUAAGAAUUUCAUUUCCUAAGUUUUUUCUAGGUCACACCCAUUAUUUUUCCUGGGCCAUUAGCUCAGGUGGUUAGAGCGCACCCCUGAUAAGGGUGAGGUCCCUGGUUCAAGUCCAGGAUGGCCCAUAUCUCUAUGUUGGGGGUAUAGCUCAGUUGGUAGAGCGCCUGCUUUGCAAGCAGGAUGUCAGCGGUUCGAGUCCGCUUACCUCCACUGAUUACCACCUCUUCCAUAAUUUAUGGGAAGGAAAUGUUUUGAGUAGUGAUCAAAUUCUGAACGAAGCUAGCUUCCUAAUAAGAUUAUUAAGAUGCUGGACUCAUUGAAUUAAUUUCAUUGUUUUCAGAGAACCUUGACAACUGCAUAGAUUAUUUUUAAAGACAAUAAGCAUCUUUAAUGAUGCAGAUUUAUUAUUUGUGCGAAUGCAUUAAUAACAAUUCUAUUAAGCUGAUGCUUCAAUUUUUGAAGUUAUU
rnacentral:tRNA from 1 species